CUGUGUUGUUGCGGCAAACCCUCUCUGCCGUGAGAAAUUGCCCUCGCUGCGGCAAAACAGAACUAAAUGCGCUGAAAUCAGAAAUCAUACCUGCAAAUGAGACACGAUCCACUCCUGCCUCAAAUCCGCUUCAUUCUGUGCCUUACAAACUACAACAUCCGACGGCCAGGUCUUUUUUUCCCUCCUACCAAAAGAACACUGAAAAAGAUUCCUCCUUUGGGAGGUGGCGAGCUGCCCGAGCCUGGUAGGACUUCUUUUUUUCCAAUUCGCCUGGAUUAUAAAAACUGAACUGAACCUUGCGAACAAACUCAGGAUCGUAUGAACUGAACUAAACUUUCCAAACCAACCAAGGAUUCUAUGGACACCUGAACUGUGCCUAAGGUUGAAGGGGUUUUUUCCUCCCUUUGGGUUUUUUUUCCCCCAUCUGUGAAUUUUCUGUUGUGUUGGGCCCUUUGUUGUUUAUUAUUGUUUAUGUCUGUCAUUGUCAAUACAUUUUCCAAACUCAAUUCCUGUUUCCACUGGUUUUCAUUCACAUACCGAGCUCCCAUAGCGAACCUGGUUUCUUUUGUUAAGUCAGAUACACCCCUCCAUC